CGCACUCUUUGUCCAGGAAAGUUGCGCAGGAGCAUCGCUUGUUGCGCACAUGGUGCUGCGGACUGACAGUAGAGGCAGAAGCAGAGAGCGUAUCUGCAGCUGGCGCAGACAGAACUGGAAGGAAACAAACAGGGCUGCAGAGCAGUGAAUGACCAACAGACCGGCUGAUUGGCUACCUUCAAACUGCAGAACAUCAGAUGUAGCUCCUCUUCAAAGGAGUGAGACGUUUUCCUUCAGAUGAAGUUCAGAUUGUCGCCUGCAGUGACACACGUCGCCCUCUGGGGGUCUCUGUUGCCUUUGCUUCAGCCCUGGUGAGGAUGGAUGAGUCACCUCUGAACAAGGCGGGUCAGCCGAGAACUCUUAUCUUCCUUAUCUGGUCUGAAAUAAACUUCAAUUAUCGUCCUAUCAGGUGUGAAGGAGCAGGACCUGCAGCUUUUCAACCUGCAGAGAGGUCAGAGGUCAGCUGCAGAAACUAAACACAAUGUCUGUGAAGGGAAACUUCAGCAGCCGUUGAACAGGAAAACAAAUCAGCUUUAAUAUUCAGGAUUUUAUUGAUUUUUCUUCAUUUUCCCCGCAGCUCUUUCCACCGUAUCCAGAGUUUUAUAAAUGUUAUUUAA